UGGGGAAUAUUGGACAAUGGGCGCAAGCCUGAUCCAGCCAUGCCGCGUGUGUGAAGAAGGCCUUCGGGUUGUAAAGCACUCUUGUUGGGGAAGAAAAGCGAUCGGUUAAUACCCGGUUGUUCUGACGGUACCCAAAGAAUAAGCACCGGCUAACUUCGUGCCAGCAGCCGCGGUAAUACGAAGGGUGCAAGCGUUACUCGGAAUUACUGGGCGUAAAGGGCGCGUAGGCGGCCUUCUAAGUCGAACGUGAAAUCCCUGGGCUCAACCCAGGAACUGCGUCCGAGACUGGGAGGCUAGAAUCCGGGAGAGGGAUGUGGAAUUCCAGGUGUAGCGGUGAAAUGCGUAGAUAUCUGGAGGAACAUCGGUGGCGAAGGCGGCAUCCUGGACCGGUAUUGACGCUGAGGCGCGAAAGCCAGGGGAGCAAA
rnacentral:rRNA from 1 species